GAUGAACGCUGGCGGCGUGCCUAAUACAUGCAAGUCGAGCGAACGGACGAGAAGCUUGCUUUUCUGAUGUUAGCGGCGGACGGGUGAGUAACACGUGGAUAACCUACCUAUAAGACUGGGAUAACUUCGGGAAACCGGAGCUAAUACCGGAUAAUAUUUUGAACCGCAUGGUUCAAAAGUGAAAGACGGUCUUGCUGUCACUUAUAGAUGGAUCCGCGCUGCAUUAGCUAGUUGGUAAGGUAACGGCUUACCAAGGCAACGAUGCAUAGCCGACCUGAGAGGGUGAUCGGCCACACUGGAACUGAGACACGGUCCAGACUCCUACGGGAGGCAGCAGUAGGGAAUCUUCCGCAAUGGGCGAAAGCCUGACGGAGCAACGCCGCGUGAGUGAUGAAGGUCUUCGGAUCGUAAAACUCUGUUAUUAGGGAAGAACAUAUGUGUAUGCAACUGUGCACAUCUUGACGGUACCUAAUCAGAAAGCCACGGCUAACUACGUG
rnacentral:rRNA from 1 species